rnacentral:rRNA from 1 species
UCAGUAACACACGGGUAAUCUGCCCUUAGGUGGAGGAUACCCUCGGGAAAUUGAGCUUCAUACUCCAUAGGUCUAGGAUGCUGGAAUGCACUUAGACUAAAAGCUUCGGUGCCUAAGGAUGAGUCUGCGGACUAUCAGGUUGUAGUCAGGGUAAUGACCUGACUAGCCUAUGACGGAUACGGGUUGUGAGAGCAAUAACCCGGAGAUGAUAUCUGAGACACGAUAUCAGGCCCUACGGGGCGCAGCAGGCGCGAAAACUUCGCAAUGUGCGAAAGCACGACGAGGGGAUCCCAAGUGCUGGCUCGUUAGAGUCAGCUGUUUUUAUGUCUAAAAAGCAUAGAGAGUAAGGGCUGGGUAAGACGGGUGCCAGCCGCCGCGGUAAUACCUGCAGCUCAAGUGGUGACCGCUAUUAUUGGGCCUAAAGCGUCCGUAGCCUGUUUAUUAAAUGCCUAGGUAAAUUGUAUGGCUUAACCAUACGAAUUCUGGGUAGACUGAUAAACUUGAGAUCGGGAGAGCUAGAGGUACUCCUGGGGUAGAGGUGAAAUUCUGUAAUCCUAGGGGGACCACCAGUGGCGAAGGCGUCUAGCUAGAACGAGUUUGACGGUGAGGGACGAAGCCCUGGGGCGCAAACGGGAUUAGAUACCCCGGUAGUCCAGGUGUAAACGCUGCUUGCUUGAUGUUGGUUUGGGCUCGAGCCAAUCAGUGUCGGAGAGAGUUGUUAAGCAAGCUGCCUGGUAGUACGAUCGCAAGACUGAAACUUA